UUGUGUGGACCACAUGAUUGGUACCACUGCUACCUGCCACGUGGGAGCGCUCUACCACCAGCCUCACACUCAGAAGACUAAGGCUUUCUGGUCUACCCUCACUUGAUGAAUGUAUAAGGGGCGUGUGUGAGUACACAUGUCACUCACUUAGGAUCAAUCACCAUGGAAGGGGAUGUUGUUCUUUAUUGGUGGAUACCCAAGAGGAGCUGGAAUCAGCUCUUCAUCAGGUCAGAGUUCUAAGAGGGCACUGGGGAAGUCCUGGGAAAGUACCUGCAGCAAUGAUAGCCCAUGUCUUCUCAAUUGAAUGCAAGAUAAGUUGUAAUAAAGAGGAAAGUCAAAAUGAUGAAGGCAAAAUGUCAACUUAAAGUUUGGAAGUUGGCCUGGGAUAAGCUGCCCCUUGGCAAAUGUUGAAGAUUGUUUGCUCUGACAUCCCUGUUUGGUCUUCCAUAUACUGUGUGAAGGCAUCGCAUGGCUUUGUAGCCUGGUCCAUGGCUUUUUGAAAGGAAGAUGGGUGGGUGGGGGGUUAUUCUUUGAGGAUAGACUAUUGGAAGCUAUUUGUGUUAUUUUGUUUUGUUUUCUACACUUGUUUAUGCUGUGAGCCAAACCUCUAUUUAAAUAGUUGAUACUCACUUUCAAUAUUUUAUUGGAUAUUAUUACAUAUGUCAUGACUAGUUACCAUGAUGUAAAUAUAAAGAAUUUUUUUUGUUUCUGUAGAUAGCAAACUUUUUUUAAAGAAAAAAAAAGGGGGAAGGGAAACAUUUUAUAGUUAUAUUUUAAUCACCAUUUUAUACAUUGUAGCUAUCUCCAAGCCCAGUAGUUGGGUGAUGAUUUAUUGUGGGGUUUGAGAGCCUCCAGACAUCUGCCUACUCUAGUUUGAUUUAUGAUCUGAUACAGUUAUUUACUGUUAAAUUAAGGAAUUGGAAAGAUGCAUCUUUUGCUAACUGAAUUAAUUUGAAGUCUUUCCCUGCCUGAUGAAAGCCCUUCUUAAACAAAUUGUUAGCCUUUCUCUUAAACUCUAUUGCUUGUAGUUCAUGGUUCAGUUCUGUGUUCACAGAAUUCUAAUCAUAGACUCAGAGACCUGUGCAUAGAUUUCUACCUUUUUACAUCUUGGAUUAUUUACAUUAAAACUCCUUUUGUCUCCCAUACAUGGGUCACAUAACCUUCCCUUCAAAAUCAACAUUUAUGGUAAUUCACAGCAUUUUUCCCUUAUAUAAAAAUGAAAUAAAAAAUCAAAUAUUUCAAGGCAGAUCUUUUAGUUCAUAGGACAAUGCAAAGAGGAUGGGAAGGAUUCAGGCCUCACCCAAACAAUUAAAACAUGUCUUGUAUAUUCCUGAGUUAAUACCAGGGCUUCAGCAUUUAGCAGAUCCUGAAUAAUUUUUCUUUCUUCAUGGUGCCCAUGUGUAUCUGUUUAUAAAUCUACUCUGAAGCAAGAACCCUUCUUCAGUGAAGGUAAAUAAAUGUAACCCUUGCCCUGCAAUAAAAAUGAUAGAUAAAAC
rnacentral:lncRNA from 1 species